rnacentral:rRNA from 1 species
GACGAACGCUGGCGGCGUGCUUAACACAUGCAAGUCGAACGGAAAGGCUCUGCUUUUGUGGGGUGCUCGAGUGGUGAACGGGUGAGUAACACGUGAGUAACCUGCCCUUGACUUUGGGAUAACUUCAGGAAACUGGGGCUAAUACCGGAUAGGAGCUCCUGCUGCAUGGUGGGGGUUGGAAAGUUUCGGCGGUUGGGGAUGGACUCGCGGCUUAUCAGCUUGUUGGUGUGGUAGUGGCUUACCAAGGCUUUGACGGGUAGCCGGCCUGAGAGGGUGACCGGCCACAUUGGGACUGAGAUACGGCCCAGACUCCUACGGGAGGCAGCAGUGGGGAAUAUUGCACAAUGGGCGGAAGCCUGAUGCAGCAACGCCGCGUGCGGGAUGACGGCCUUAGGGUUGUAAACCGCUUUCGCCUGUGACGAAGCGUGAGUGACGGUAAUGGGUAAAGAAGCACCGGCUAACUACGUG